ACACACCCGUCUCGUACGUAUCGAGAAACGUGAUAAGCUUGGAUGACGCCCCGUUGGAUCCAGUUCUUUGCUUUUGUAGGUGUGGAAGUAUUGCUGAACAUGUACGCAUAGGUGCAAACGCGCGAUAUAUGAAGCAAUGUGCCGUGAAGUAUCCAGUCGACUUGCUGUUACUGUAAGUGCACCAGUGAUCAUUCAAUUUUUCGUUGAUACAGUUUCCCGUCUGCCUGUGCACGGUCUACCACAUGACAGCGGUAUCCUGUAAGCCACAUUGAACUCGCACUCCUUGAAUUUGUGCGUGUGUGUGGUCGACACAGCAUCCUUGCCUAUCCACCUCAAUGAAAGAUUCUCGGUGACGAAAUCCGAAAUAUCCUGAACACGAGAACGCACUUUUGCCCUUUGAUAUUUAACGAAAAGGAUGCUGCCUAUGUCGAAGAAACCGAGAAAAUCCCACUGAAAUAUAUCUAAGCGUUUCAAGGACACGUGUUCUGCACGAGGUUGAACCCAAAGUUCUACGGCGUCUUCAGAAGUACGACACAGCAGGACAGAAGGGGGACAGGAACAAUUGGGAUCAUGUUUCUGGGUGAUAUCGUACCAGCCUCUCAGCAGCGGUGCACGGCGAUUGACCUUGGCCCUGGCGAGAGCUAACAUUACUGCAAUUCGUUUGACCUUUUCACCUCCUGAUAGCCACUUAUCGAUGACACGAUGACUGGUCGCUUGUGAUGGCAGUUGUGCCACUUGAUCACAGGGAAAACUGAUCAAUCUGUCGAGAGGAAGCGGAUGGAGGAGAAGAGUUGGGAUCUGCGGACAUCUCAGAAAAAUACUGUAACUGAAGAAAGAUCGUCUUGUGUUUCAAACAUUCUGACGUGAA